UAUGGAACAAAGUCCAUUUGCUCUUGCAUUUAAAAACGAGCAUCUUCUGUUUCGAAUAAAAAUGAUUCCUUAUCAUACGAUCAUUAUAAAACUUACCGCUCCUAACACCCGGGACCUCUCUCAGAGAGGUCCUUCAACAAAUGGAGAGAUAAUGGCGGAAUGGAUGAGCCCUCCUUCAAAUGGAGGGCUCAUCCAUACCGGGGUGUUGAGAAACACCGAAGAAAAAACAGCAACCAAAAGGCUGUAAAUGUCUAUCAGUCUAUAUUUAUGACUUCUAUCAG